GACGAACGCUGGCGGCGUGCUUUACACAUGCAAGUCGAACGGAAAGGCCCUGCUUUUGUGGGGUGCUCGAGUGGCGAACGGGUGAGUAACACGUGAGUAACCUGCCCUUGACUUUGGGAUAACUUCAGGAAACUGGGGCUAAUACCGGAUAGGAGCUCCUGCUGCAUGGUGGGGGUUGGAAAGUUUCGGCGGUUGGGGAUGGACUCGCGGCUUAUCAGCUUGUUGGUGGGGUAGUGGCUUACCAAGGCUUUGAAGGGUAGCCGGCCUGAGAGGGUGACCGGCCACAUUGGGACUGAGAUACGGCCCAGACUCCUACGGGAGGCAGCAGUGGGGAAUAUUGCACAAUGGGCGGAAGCCUGAUGCAGCAACGCCGCGUGCGGGAUGACGGCCUUCGGGUUGUAAACCGCUUUCGCCUGUGACGAAGCGUGAGUGACGGUAAUGGGUAAAGAAGCACCGGCUAACUACGUG
rnacentral:rRNA from 1 species